UCCAAGCAAAGGUCCAUUGGAUUCCCCAAGUGGCUGACUGCAACGAAUGUGCUCAGAAGCUGCUGAGGCUUAAACUUUCAGCCCUUCGAGAGGCAGCUCGAGAGACUGGGAAACGAAGAGGCUCUACUAUAUCCUGUCCUGCUUUUGGGAGAUCUUGGCAGCCCUUGUGUAGAGAGAGGGAGGAGGUUUGGUGGGUGUGGGGGUUUGGUGGGGAAGCUAAGGUCCUCCUUUGGAAACAACGGAGGAAGGCUCCAUGUUAAAGGGGAAAGGAGGAGACAGGAAACCUCCAUUAAAUUGUUUAUAAGUUGAAUUGUUUCUAAAGCCGGAACUGACAACUGUGUUUUUACAAAGUAGAAAAGGAUGCAACAAGUUCCACAGUCCUCAUUCAGGCAUAUACAGUGCUUAAGAAGAUCAGAGUGCAGUUUUCUUUGGGCAGAAAUCUGAAAAAUCUCAAAAGUAUAAUUAGUAAUGAUGCACGUUCAUACACUCACCAAUCAGAAUUGAGGAUUGAUAAGAUUUUGCUUUACCCCAAUUUAAAUAAAAGAAGCAAAGGAUUACGGCGAAUGAUAAAGUCCUCCACUGGCAGUAUUGUUCUUGCUACAAACCCAGAGGCCACAGACAAAACCACAGUUCAUUUGGUGGCUGAAGCUUACUGAAAGCUUCCUUUCCUCUUGAUGCAGCCAGCUUUUUGGAUUACAUGGCAAGGGUGGCCUGAGCAAAGCAACGGGAAAGAGCUGUUGGUGGAACAACUAUUUUGUAGGUUUGUCCUGAGAGUCCUCCUGCAUACACAAGAAUCCCCAUCACAGGCUCUGCACUGGAAAACUCCAUCUGGGACAAAGGGAAAGAGCAAUGGAAGGACAGCAAGGGGAACAGCGUGGCUAAAGCAAAGUAAAGCACAGUAAGUGAGGGAGAGAGUAUUAGGGAAUCGCGGUAAAGAUGAGAGAAGGAGACAGCUUAAGGAAAAUUACGUGGGCUGUGUAGAAAGCUUGGAUUCCACUCAAAGAUAGUGGGAAAUCUUUGGAAGGUAAUUUGGGUGUGAAAAUACUCUCACCAGCUGCAGUGUGGAGAGUGGGAUGGGGGUAAGGUGAGGCAGAGAGCCCAGUUGGCCAUCAGCUGUAACAUUCCAGGCAAGAAAUGAUAGCAUCUUGAAUUAAAAAGGUAGUGGCAAAGGAGGUGAGCUAGGAGCAGAACGUGGGAGGUAUUCUGGAGGUAGAGCCAAGGCUUCCUGAUAAACUGGAUAUGACAGAGUUAAGGAGUCUAGGUUUAAAAGUCAGGCAAAUGGCUAGGUUUGGUGGGAGCAGUACUUACUUCACCUUUUUUUUCCUAUUAAGAACUUACAACAAAUCUUUUGUAGAGUUCGGAUCUCCCUAUGUUGCCCAGGCUGACCUCAAACUCCUGGGCUCAAGAACUUCUUCUGCCUCAGCACCCCAAAGUGCCAGGAUUACAAGUGUGUCACUACUUACUUGAUCUUAAGCCCUGGAAGUUUUUCACAUGGGUUGGGUACUCUUAAUUCCAACUUUGUCAUUGGUGGAUGAACGUGAAAACGGAUACAGUUUUCAAUUAACGUGAUACAAAAUGGCAGUUAAGGGAAAGUAAUGGGUAUCAUUCUAUUGUCUUCCUCCCUACUCAGCUUGCCCUAUAAUUUUUUAUACUUUUGUGUAUUUGCUCCUUUUUGCUCCUUACAUUUCUUUAACAGUGGUGGUGUGGUUUCAAUUAGAUACUCCAUUUAAGCUGGGAGAAGGCAAUGCCAUAGCUCCCUGCUUUAUUUUGUGCAGGCCCCCUUGUGCACGGCUUACUUCCACAGUAAUGGCCUUGAUUAAGCAAAAGCCAAGGAGUCACGUAGCACCAGGGAAGGCAGAACUGUUACCCUGCUGCUCUCAAUCCCAAGCGGAUGUGAGUGGGAAAGCAAGCGUGGAGUGACUGUGGGAGAAUGGUUACCCUCCCCUUCUGAGAAUCUCCCAGAAUAUGGAAUAGAUUAGGAUACUCGGAAGCUGUGAAUGCUGCAGGUCAUGCCGAGAGGGGUGGUAAGUGUCCCAAAGGCACAGGCCUCCCUGAUUUCAGGGUGAGGUCUGAAAUUAGCAGGAGGCCCUGGAUGGGGAGCCCAGGCUGUGGGUGGAGGAAGGGAGCUUUCCUUCAUUCUCCUUUGUUCAAAAUAAGGACUUUUUUGUUGUUGUUGUUAGUGGGAGUGUGGGACAUGAGCACAGCCAAAAAUUUAUUAACUCUUCUUAACUUUCCUAACUCAGGGAGGGAAAUGUUAGCACCAGUGUCUUCCAAGAGAGCAUCAUUCACAGAGCUCCUUGGGAUUUGGGAAUGCCAUGAUUAGGAAAGCAGAUGCAGGCACUCCCACUAAGAAAAGCGUCUCAAUCAGAGAGAGAUGCUUAACAGAACCAUGGAUAAUUGGAGCGACAGAACCCACAUAGGCCUUUUAAUUGAUGGAAGUAAAGCAUUUACAGUGUGAACAAUAAGUGGAAAAGAGGUCACAGCUUUUCUUGAUCCACUGUGCCCAAGUCAGACGUCCCAUCACUUCCUGCUUAAUGCAACGCCAUUGUGCCUUGACUUGCAGGCAAAGUAAGUAGUUAAUUUUCUAUCUCUAGGUGUGAAAGCAAUGCUGGUUUAAUUUUGGGUGAUGUCUCUAUCUGUUAUCAAUGUCUUGAACAGUGUAAUUUUUAAGAAGAUCAAGAGAUAAACAUACAGUGCUGAGCACAGAAGUGCAGCUUGGCUGCUUUGGAUCAGAAUCUGGCUUUGUUCCUUGUCUCACACUGUUUCUCCAGCCAGGAAGUAGGUGGAGAGGUCAUCUUUGAGAGUGAGGAGGCAGGGGAGGAAACAGAGCUGGAGGAGAAGGCUGGCUGCUGUGGUGAAUUCCAAGACAAGGACCCCUCAUCAGAGGUAGUGGUUUUUGGUUACUUCAGUGGACUCUGCCCAAAUAUAGAGAAAAUAAGCCCUCCACAUGAAAAGAUGUAAAGAUGCUUACUUGCAAAUGGGCUUAACCAACAUUCUAAAUAAAAGCCAGACUCUACGAUCUCCUUGUCACUUACUGUAUCUUGUCCAUAUUAAGAAGAUUUGGCUAGAAGUCAAAGAAAGCAGUUAUAAUAGGAGGUCACUUGCUGAUAGACCAAGUAUGUACUGAUGGCUUUCUGCGUCCUUAAGCCUGAAUGCAUAUGAUGCCCUGAGGAUGCUUCACCUAUGCAUGGAGCAGUCUGGAAGACACUGUAGCAAAGUUCCAGUCCCAGAGAUACCUCUCAACAAUGGGGGAUAGAGUUGGUGAUACAUGCCCCAGCUCCCUUCAGCCUCAUAGGGAAAGUUCUGUGAGUCAUCAUGAGGAAGACCAUUGUCAAGAACUUGGGAGGUUUCAGAUGCAGUGGAUUAUAAGACACACUGGAACAGCUGAUACACUGAGCUCUGGCAUGAGCAGUUGGGAAUCAGACUCUGGGCAAAGCAAGAACAAAGAGCCUUUCCGAGUUUCCUCGACUGACUUCAAUGGGGCUGUUUCUAGAGGGGCAUGAAGGUGGCUGUGACUUUGUAAGCAGAAUGGAAGUGAUGUGAUCUACACCAGGCCUGGGAAAAUCGGCUUAGGUGUGGCAAAGUGAUGACACAAGAGACAUCUUGGAGGAGGCAAAGCUUGAGACAGAUCUUCAAGGAUUGGUACUAUCUGGACAGGUUGAAGAGGAGUAGCAGGGCUUUCAGAUGUGGAGAACGGCAUGCACAAAAGCACGGAGCAACACUUUAUGCCAGUUGGAUUAUGGUCCAGUGGGAGAAAGAUCAAUUAAGGCGAAACCACAGUAGAGAAAGCGCUGGAGAAUAACAUUCAUUCUUCCUUAAUAAAUCUUAGUUUUAAAGAUUUGCUUUGGGUUUUGUUCUGUUAAUAAAGAAAAUAAAUUAAGAAGGAAAACCAACUGAUAUUUUGUUUUUCCAUAUGCCUUAGUGGAAUCCU